CGGAGGAUGCCUAGGCGCCAGGAGCCGACGAAGGACGUGGCGAACAACGAAACUGCCUCGGGGAGCUGUAAGCAAGCUUUGAUCCGGGGGUGUCCGAAUGGGGAAACCCAGCUGUGGUAAUUCGCAGUUACUCAUUUCUGAAUACAUAGGAAAUGCAGAGGCAGACCAGGGGAACUGAAACAUCUAAGUACCCUGAGGAAGAGAAAACAAUAGUGAUUCCGUCAGUAGCGGCGAGCGAACGCGGAACAGCCUAAACCAAGGGGCUUGCCUCUUGGGGUUGUGGGACGUCUCACAUGGAGUUACAAAGGAAUAUGGUAGGCGAAGAGGUCUGGAAAGGCCCGCGAUAGAGGUAAAAGCCCUGUAGCCUAAACUGUGUUCUCUCCGAGACGGAUCCCGAGUAGUGCGGGGCACGUGAAACCCCGUAUGAAUCCAGCAGGACCAUCUGCUAAGGCUAAAUACUACCUGGCGACCGAUAGUGAAACAGUACCGUGAGGGAAAGGUGAAAAGCACCCCGGAAGGGGAGUGAAAUAGAACCUGAAACCGUGUGCUUACAAAAAGUCAGAGCCCGAUCUAUGGGUGAUGGCGUGCCUUUUGUAGAAUGAACCGGCGAGUUACGUUUAACAUGCAAGGUUAAGGUGAGAAGCCGGAGCCGCAGCGAAAGCGAGUCUGAAUAGGGCGAUUUAGUAUGUGGACGUAGACCCGAAACCGUGUGAUCUACCCCUGUCCAGGGUGAAGGUGCGGUAACACGCACUGGAGGCCCGAACCCACGCAUGUUGAAAAAUGCGGGGAUGAGGUGGGGGUAGCGGAGAAAUUCCAAUCGAACUCGGAGAUAGCUGGUUCUCCCCGAAAUAGCUUUAGGGCUAGCCUCGGUGAAUGGAGUGGUGGAGGUAGAGCACUGAUUGGGUGCGGGGCCCGCAAGGGUUACCAAGCUCAGUCAAACUCCGAAUGCCAUUAACUUCUUGCCGGGAGUCAGACAGUGAGUGCUAAGAUCCAUUGUCAAAAGGGAAACAGCCCAGACCAUCAGCUAAGGUCCCCAAGUGUGUGUUAAGUGGGAAAGGAUGUGGAGUUGCACAGACAACCAGGAUGUUGGCUUAGAAGCAGCCACCAUUGAAAGAGUGCGUAAUAGCUCACUGGUCGAGUGACUCUGCGCCGAAAAUGUAACGGGGCUAAACACACCACCGAAGCUAUGGCUAGAUGCUUUGCAUCUGGGGUAGGGGAGCGUUGUAUGUAGGUUGAAGGUGUACCGUAAGGAGCGCUGGACAGCAUACAAGUGAGAAUGCCGGUAUGAGUAACGAAAAGAUCAGUGAGAAUCUGAUCCGCCGAAAGCCCAAGGUUUCCUGAGGAAGGCUCGUCCGCUCAGGGUAAGUCGGGACCUAAGGCGAGGCCGAAAGGCGUAGUCGAAGGACAACAGUUUGAAAUUACUGUACCACCGUAAUCCGCUAUGAGCGAUGGGGUGACGCAGGAGGGUAGUGACGCGGACUGAUGGAUGUGUCCGUCUAAGCAGUGAGGCUGAUGUGUAGGCAAAUCCGCACAUCAAUAAGGCUGGGCUGUGAUGGGGAGCGAAAAUUGUAGUAGCGAAGGUCAUGAUCUCACACUGCCAAGAAAAGCCUCUAGCCAGGAGAAGGUGCCCGUACCGCAAACCGACACAGGUAGGCGAGAAGAGAAUUCUAAGGCGCGCGGAAGAACUCUCGUUAAGGAACUCGGCAAAAUGACCUCGUAACUUCGGGAGAAGAGGUGCCUCGGUAGGGUGAAUAGCCCGAGGGGGCCGCAGUGAAAAGGCCCAAGCGACUGUUUAGCAAAAACACAGGUCUGUGCGAAGCCGCAAGGCGAAGUAUACGGGCUGACGCCUGCCCGGUGCUGGAAGGUUAAGGGGAGUGGUUAGGAGCAAUCCGAAGCUGUGAACCGAAGCCCCAGUAAACGGCGGCCGUAACUAUAACGGUCCUAAGGUAGCGAAAUUCCUUGUCAGGUAAAUUCUGACCCGCACGAAUGGCGUAACGACUUGGGCGCUGUCUCAACGAGAGAUCCGGUGAAAUUUUAAUACCUGUGAAGAUGCAGGUUACCCGCGACAAGACGGAAAGACCCCAUGGAGCUUUACUGCAGCUUGAUAUUGAAUUUGGGUACGAUCUGUACAGGAUAGGUGGGAGCCGUAGAGGCAGGAGCGCAAGCUUCUGCGGAGGCGCCGUUGGGAUACCACCCUGAUCGUAUCUAGGUUCUAACCUAGUACCGUAACCCGGUACGGGGACCGUGUCAGGCGGGCAGUUUGACUGGGGCGGUCGCCUCCUAAAGAGUAACGGAGGCGUUCAAAGGUUCCCUCAGAAUGGUUGGAAAUCAUUCGAAGAGUGCAAAGGCAUAAGGGAGCUUGACUGCGAGACCUACAAGUCGAGCAGGGACGAAAGUCGGACUUAGUGAUCCGGUGGUACCGCAUGGAAGGGCCAUCGCUCAACGGAUAAAAGCUACCCUGGGGAUAACAGGCUUAUCUCCCCCAAGAGUCCACAUCGACGGGGAGGUUUGGCACCUCGAUGUCGGCUCAUCGCAUCCUGGGGCUGAAGUAGGUCCCAAGGGUUGGGCUGUUCGCCCAUUAAAGCGGUACGCGAGCUGGGUUCAGAACGUCGUGAGACAGUUCGGUCCCUAUCUGUCGUGGGCGCAGGAAAUUUGAGAGGAGCUGUCCUUAGUACGAGAGGACCGGGAUGGACGUACCGCUGGUGCAUCAGUUGUUCCGCCAGGAGCAUGGCUGAGUAGCUACGUACGGACGGGAUAAGCGCUGAAAGCAUCUAAGCGUGAAGCCCCCCUCAAGAUGAGAUUUCCCAAUUAGUAAGACCCCUUGAAGACGACGAGGUAGAUAGGUUGGAGGUGGAAGUGCAGCAAUGCAUGGAGCUGACCAAUACUAAUCGGUCGAGGGCUUAUCCAAAUU
rnacentral:rRNA from 1 species